rnacentral:rRNA from 1 species
UACGUAGGGGGCGAGCGUUGUCCGGAAUUACUGGGCGUAAAGAGCACGUAGGCGGCUAUAGAAGUCAGAUGUAAAAGCCCUCGGCCAAACCGAGGAUAUGCAGCUGAAACUAAAUAGCUUGAGUGAAGGAGAGGAGAGCGGAAUUCCUGGUGUAGCGGUGAAAUGCGUAGAGAUCAGGAAGAAUACCAGUGGCGAAAGCGGCUCUCUGGACUUAAACUGACGCUGAGGUGCGAAAGCGUGGGGAGCGAACAGG